AUCCGAAUCCCUGACAGGUUGGUGUCCUUCUGCUAAAGCAGGCAGAUGAGAAGGCGCAAGCGCUGGGCCUGCCCAGGGAGUGUCUGGGCAGGCCUGGCCCUUGGCUGUCACAGGAGCACGUGCCUCAGCUUCAUGGAGAAGCUGGAAAUGGGGGUGGGGUGGAUGAGAUGGGAUAACCUUGGAUCUCAUCCCGGGGACACCGGGGGCUCAUCACUUUCCCUCCCUUCUCUUGUAGAACACCAGAGCGGGAGGACAAUCGUGCAUCCGCAGUGGUUCUGCAGAGGCACGGGCACUGCGACGCCGUCAUCUGCUUUUGCGCUGGAGGCAGGGAUCAGGCAGAAGAAGAGGGGUGAGUUACCGCAGCAGCUCUCUGGCGCUCCGUGGGGGAUCUCAGCCUCAGCACAGGCUGGGAGGUCAAGGACUGAGCACCAGAGAUGUGCCGGGCGCUCCCUGCCUUGGCUCGCUUGGUCCUCACGGCCACAACCCCUUUGCUUCCCCAGGCCCUGGCAGCUGAUCCCGUGCAGCUCCUGUGGAGCGCAGAGCACCCACCGAGAAUGCUCCUACUCGAGCAUCAGAACGAACAAGUGGGACUGCGACAGAUGUGCUGGCCUGGGUACCGGUAAGAGGCGAUGAGUCGCGUGGCACCGGGCUGGGGUCAGCCAAGACCUGGCAGCAAGCGCUCGCGGCAGCUUUCAAAGUCUCUCUCUGCCCUAGGAGGGAUGGCAGCCUGUCCCUACCCGGGGCUACAGGUUCCUCCUGCUGACCUUCCCGCCUCCCCUUACAGCCUCCAGCACCAUUGCGCAGCUCGCUGCCCUCAGCGCUGCCAGCCAGCAGGGCCUGGAGCCAUCCCACAGCCCCCAGGAGCCCGAGGACAGCUGCUCCGGCCCCACCAUCCAGCCAGCGUCGGGGCCAUCCCACACUUCCCAGCUGCUGGAGCUCAGCUGCCAGACCAGCGUGCAGGGCACAGAACAAGGGACAACCUGCUCAGCUUUUCCUGACCAUCAGGACGCACCUGAGCAGUGCCAAGCACGCUGUGGGAGCAGCCAUACACCCACCCCCGGCACUGGAAGCAGCUCCCGCCCAUCCACCGCACAGGGCACUUUGGGAUCCUCCAGAGCAGCCACAGCGGCUGCGCGCAGGAGGCGUCCCAGGCAGCGGGGAACAAGCCGGACACGGAGCCGCUCCCCGCUGCAAGGUCGGGCCCCACCUUCCCAGAGCCGGACCAGAAGACCUCAGCGCAGCAGGCGAACACCAUCUCCAGCUGCUCAGAAGAGAACUCGCAGCACCAGCAGACCGGCGACACGGAGGACCUUGAGGGCUUCCCUGCGUCCAGACAGCAGGGAAUGGCCCAGGCAGCCAGGGGAGGCCCGCAUGCAAAGCCGUUCCUCAGUGGCACGUCGAGUGCCACAUGUCCACAGCCGGCACUGAGGAGGCUGCGGGAGCCAGUUCCAACAGUGGGGGCUGCCCCAGGCAUGAAGACCUCCUGGGUCGAACAUGCAAGCCAACAUCCCACCCCCC
ensembl:lncRNA